AUCUAUUGAUAGAGAGAUACAACAGUGUAACAAGCAGGGAUGCCCAGUGUAUGGUACUUGGACGUCCCUUCAAGAGUUUCAGGAUUGGAGCCAGUGUAGCGUACAUGUAACAUGCGGUGGGGGAACACAGCGACGCGUGAAAAUAAGAACAUGCAUUACGUCCAAAAUUGAGAAUGAAAAAGAAAUGUGUAAUGGAUCAGCAAUGGAACAAGAAACCCAGUCAUGUACAUUAGGUCAAUGCCCUUCAGAUGGAAUUGGUACAAUGAACAUACUAACCUCUACUGG